CAGUAUCCUAGCAGCAGGGAAGGCCAGGCAGGGGUUGUGAGUGAACAUGGAUCACCAAAAAGAUAACCUGUUACAGGAGGAUGGUAUCUAACAGGUGACAUUCCAGGCCAUCAGAUUCAACGACUGGAAAUUGGGAUGAAAAACGUGGCCCACCUGCUGGGAGAGAAGAUUUUGGUGGAGCGGCAAAUGUUGGUGAUGGCCUUGAAACAACUGGAGAAGGACCGGGAACCAUGGUUGUCCUGGCCACCACAGGGCAAAUAUGUGUUGGAAGCUCUGAGCAAGCACAAACCCAAAUGCACGGUACACAAGGACAAAAAAAGAAUGCUACUUGCCACGCACACCUUUAAUGGUUAAGACCUCAGCUGUACAUAUCUUACAAGUAGUUACCAAGAUCUCAUUUUACAUUCUAACCUCCACUGUCCUAAGAGGGAGCUUUAAGCAUUUAAAAAUGCAAGUUUAGUAUUAACAUGUCCACAAGACACUAAACCUAGUUCUAUCACAUCUUUCCUGAAGGGUUUACUAGCACAAUCUAGUACAACUACCACAACUGAUUGGUGAGAGAUUUUUGAAACUAUAAUUCUUGUUUUAAAAUGGUUAGGCAGUGUGUCAGAUUGAGGCUCUUACCAAUUUAAUAGGGUGUUUGGAUUUCUAUUGGUAAAAAACACACCAGAAUUUGUAAAGUGCAGAAAAAUAAAUUAACGCCGCAUUCUGACAUUUAAUCAGUUAAUAAGCCAAAAUAAAUGCAGCUGUUAAUCACUUUGACAAUCACAAGACAGAAAUAUGGUUCUGCUACAUCAUAUAUUUAUAGCGCUG